GGCCCUAUCGUCUAGUUUGGUCUAGGACGUCUGGUUCUCAGCCAGAUAACACCGGUUCAAAUCCGGUUAGGGCUG
rnacentral:tRNA from 6 species